rnacentral:snoRNA from 1 species
ACAAUUUCAUGAUGAUUUCAUAGUUCAACAGAAUUUGCUUUGAUGACAUACUUGCAUAUGUCUUUCGCUCCUAGCUGAAUCUA